UACAGAGGUCUCAAGCGUUGUUCGGAUUCAUUGGGCGUAAAGGGGGCGUAGGUGGCUUGUUAAGUCGGUUGUGAAAUCCCGGGGCUCAACCCCGGAACUGCAUUCGAUACUGCUGCGCUAGAGUACUGGAGAGGAGAUUGGAAUUUACGGUGUAGCAGUGAAAUGCGUAGAUAUCGUAAGGAAGACCAGUGGCGAAGGCGGAUCUCUGGACAGUUACUGACACUGAGGCACGAAGGCCAGGGGAGCAAACGGG
rnacentral:rRNA from 1 species